UACAGAGGGGGCAAGCGUUAUUCGGAAUUAUUGGGCGUAAAGGGCGCGUAGGCGGCUUGGCAAGUGGAUGGUGAAAUCCCUCGGCUUAACCGAGGAACGGCCGUCCAAACUGCUUCGCUUGAGACCGGGAGAGGUGAGUGGAAUUCCCAGUGUAGCGGUGAAAUGCGUAGAGAUCAUGAGGAAGACCAGUGGCGAAGGCGGGUCUCUGGACAGUUCCUGACACUGAGACACGAAGGCCAGGGGAGCAAACAGG
rnacentral:rRNA from 1 species